AUCGCUACAAAACGCAUCUCUUUUUUCUCGCAUUCCAGUGAAACCCUUGGACCUCUCAUCAUAGGUGGGUUGAGGCCACGGUUAGGGCGGUUGAACCAGCCUCAACCGCAAAGAUUCCGAUCCAUCGCGUUCCACGGAUUAAAAAAAAGCCCUGAGGUUAACUCGUUCGACAUUGAUAUUCGUUUCAAACCCCACCUUUGCCUUAUUUUUCACUGAUUGCUAAUUUUUUCAGGCAAUGGAUGAGUUUGAUCCAGUCUCCAACCUUGAGAGGUUAAAAAUCUCUACUCUGAAGAAAGCUAUUGCUUUAAAGAAUAGCUGUGGAGGAGUAACUAUUGGCCCAUCAUCGAAACAUAACGGAAGUGCAGUAAAAAAUGGGAGCGCCAAUGGAGAAUUUGCUACCUCUACACCCAUCAAAGAGAAACAUUCGCCAGGAGGCGAAAAUAAUUUUUCUCCGAGAAGACUUACUUUUGAUGUCACUUCGGACAAAUCAUCCAUCCAUAACCACUCCACUCAAGAAAAAGCUGAGCCUGUACCUCAUACGCUACUUCUGAAAGUGUAUGAGCAACAACUCAGAGAUAAUGUGAAGGAAGCAAUGCAACGCCGGCUAGAAAAGUUCAGAGAAAUGGAUCGGAAGUCCAAAGAAGAGCUGGAAUCCUUAAAGAAUGCAAUGAAAAUGGAGGCUUUAUCGAAAGCGGCUAUCGAGCAUGAACGACUACAGAAAGAACUAGAAGAAGAAGAGAAAAACGCAGCCAUUCGUAUGGAACAACUGAUGAUUAGAAAUGAAAAUCAUGCUAAGAGGUUAAAUGAAGUCACUGCUAAAGUUAGAGAAUUAGAAAAGAAAGAACUAGAAGAACAGGAAAUCAAAAGAACAAAAUGGAAAGAAAGGAAGAGCAAUCUGGACAAAAUUUUUGCAAAUCAGCUGCAGUUUAGACAGAAAUAUCAAGAAUUCUGUGAAUUCAUUCGCAAUUGUGAUACCUCAAAGGAACUUAUGGCUGUGAUUUCGUCUGAUAUCGACAAGGCACGCUUUGUAACAGACUCCAUGGAUGAUUUUGUCGAGAAAUGCAGGGAUGGUGCGGUAGAGGCAGCUGAUGUAGAAAACGCCGCAAGCUUUGUGGCACAAAUCAAUGAAAUUUUUAAUCACAUGAAAGCUCAAGCUGAUAAAUUCAAAUCAGAAAAAGUUGUUCGUGAGAGCGCUCCUGUACCACCCGGGAACGAAGGGAAUACUUUUCAUCCUGCUGGAGAGACGAAGAGUGAAGAUUCUCAUGAGUUUUCUAGCAAUCUUGGAACUGGAGAGUAUGCAGAUCCUAGAUGCCUUAAAACAUACAACCAGUUGAAUAAAUUCUUGAAAUCGGUGGAAGAAUCUUUCGAGCCUUUCUGCGCUGAUCCCAGUCUCAAGCAAUUCAGAUUCUUGUGCCAGAAAGCGGUCAUCACUCCUGUCAAUGCUAUCUCUCCAGAAAGCAAAGCCCAUCUUGUAGAUAAAUAUGAUAAACUUUCGAAUCUGCUAGCCGGCAGAUCAGUUACCGUCAAUAAUAAAUCAUUCAGUGCGACCAGUCAUCCCCUGGGAAUUCAGUUCUGUAAAUAUACAUUAGCUAAAAAUUCGUGGAACAAGGAGAGAGGAAUGUUUCUAGUCACCCGGAAGCGGCUUUUGCUAUCGCCACCAUCAUUGUAG
rnacentral:lncRNA from 1 species